rnacentral:rRNA from 1 species
AGCGAACGCUGGCGGCAGGCCUAACACAUGCAAGUCGAACGAACUCUUCGGAGUUAGUGGCGGACGGGUGAGUAACACGUGGGAACGUGCCUUUAGGUUCGGAAUAACUCAGGGAAACUUGUGCUAAUACCGAAUGUGCCCUUCGGGGGAAAGAUUUAUCGCCUGUAGAGCGGCCCGCGUCUGAUUAGCUAGUUCGUUGAGGUAAUGGCUCACCAAGGCGACGAUCAGUAGCUGGUCUGAGAGGAUGACCAGCCACACUGGGACGGAGACACGGCCCAGACUCCUACGGGAGGCAGCAGUGGGGAAUGUUGCGCAAUGGGCGAAAGCCUGACGCAGCCAUGCCGCGUGAAUGAUGAAGGUCUUAGGAUUGUAUAAUUCUUUCACCGGGGACGAUAAUGACGGUACCCGGAGAAGAAGCCCCGGCUAACUUCGUGCCAGCCGCCGCUGUAAGAC